rnacentral:misc_RNA from 1 species
AAAAGUCGUAACAAGGUCUCCGUUGGUGAACCAGCGGAGGGAUCAUUACAGAGUUGCAAAACUCCCUAAACCAUCGCGAACCCACCCCUAAACAGUUGCUUCGGCGGCGCCAGAGGCCCUGCGGCCCGAGGCCCGCCGGGGACCCCCCAAACUCUUGUUUUUAACAAAUGGCCUCUCUGAGUACUGUACUUUAAUAAGUCAAAACUUUCAACAACGGAUCUCUUGGUUCUG